CUAUAAAAGUAGACUUUAUCAAGAAAGCAAAUAUUUUGAAUCAAGAAGAGGAUGCAAACAAGUUGUAAACAUGUAACUGAAACAUAAAAAUACACAUCAGUCCACUUACAGAACCAAACAGGGUUACAUCGAAUCAUUUAAAAUGAAAGCAAAGAAAAACUCAUCUCGGGAGCUCUUAAAUUUAGGAAAAGAAUCACUGGAGCAUGCUCACCUUGAACCAGGGAUUGGAUAUUGUGGUUCUUGUACAAAGGGAAAUCUGUGAGGGGGAUGGAGGUCCGAGGUGAAGGAGGGAGGAAGAUUGCAUAGUUGUGAAACAGUGGCUUCUCAUCAAGGUGAACAAGUGCGUCCUCUGAUAAAAUAGCGUUUGAUUUUUUUUUUUCUGUUCAUUUCUGUUCACGAUAUUUUUCUCUGUCCACCAAACAUGUCAUACAUUGACACAUAUAUACAGUACACACACACACAUGCUAGUGUUAAACACCUGAAUUACACAGCCAUACUUGAAAACGACCCCUCACCACUUGUUCCGUGCAAAGUUUGCAUCCACCAUUACCCUUGUGCUACAUCCUGACCCCAUUUCUCAUCAAAACUCAUCUUUUGGAUUAUUUCUUUCUUUAGCAAGGAAAGGGGUGGGUGACAACGGGGUGGUGGGUUGGGGGAGGAGGCUUCGGGGAAAGCACCGGAAAUGGUUCUGUAUUCUCACUGAACUUCUGUGGCAAUGCCUCGCAUUUUGGUUAUGCGCAUACUCAUUUUUAAGAGAUAGGAAAAACCAACUGCCUCUUUUUUUUUUUUAAGCUUUCUUGAGGUAAACAUCAUUUGCUAACACCUUAGGCAGCAGACACGUUUUACAGUGCCGUCAAGAAACUUUACAAUAAGGAGGAAACAACACCAAAGUGUAACAUCGAUGCUCAAGGACAUUUAGAAAGCACACCUGCAUUUUAAUUCAUUUCCCCUUCAUCUCAUUUGACCAACUCCUUCUAGUCACAUAUAGAGCAGAACAGAAAUGUGAUUAGUUGCGUAUAUCAUACUGGGCAUCUCUUAUCCCAACCCACCAUAAACCUCUCUUGCUCACAUACUAAAAACUGUGAGUCAAUUGAAAAAUUAAAACAAAGAUGAACAGACUUUACAUAUUUUCAUCCUUUCUAUCUGCCUCAAGCAUAUAUAUAUAUAUAUAUAUACACACAUAUAUAUAUAUGAUAGUUUACAUUAAUAUAGGAAAUAGCAGAGGUCUUUUAGUUACAUUUUAUACAGAACCACUGCAUCUUAUCUUUUUUUCUAUGCUCUCUCUCUUUUUGGAUAAACAAUUGGCUAUAACAAUCUAUAGUAAGGCUUCACAGAAAGAAUUCUGCAUGUUUUGUUUUUCUCUAAGAACCAAAGUUUAUAAAAUGAGGUUUGAUUCUAGCACCUUAUACAGUAUUAGUGAUGUUGUUCCCUUGGGAGAAAUUAGCACUACCCAACAUCUCAGGUGAAUCCCAAUCAGUUACACAGUUCUCAAAGGUAUUGCCAAAGGGAGGACAUACAGCACGGUGGAGAUGGAGGAGCAAGAGGGAAACAAAACAGAACCCCAAGAUUAAAGUCUCAGCAACAUACAAAUAAAAUCUUAAAAAUAUGUCAAGUUGCCGUCUCCAAAUUAAUAAUGAUUUAGUGUUUUUCAGUGCCACCAAUGAAUCCUUUUAGGUUAUCCUUCCCCAUGAGGUCAGGAAAUAUGAUGUCCAUUUUAGAUGGGGAGACUGAGUCUGGGAGACGGAUACAGGUCAUGGAGGAAACUGUCUGGGUUAAGAAACAGGGUUGGGGAUGCCCAGCCUCUAGCCUCUUAUUCCCAAACUAUUCCUCAUCAACUUUAAUUGGGGAGUUGAGAUUUUGGAAAAUCAACUGAUUGGCCACUGAUGAGGAAGCAAAACAAACAAACAUUUUUUAAAAAAUAUCAGCACCAAAGGAAGUUCAAAAGAAGCUGCUCUUUGCUCCCUUAUCCAAUAUCCCAUGAUAUGGAGACAGCAACUUUCACAAGAAGGGAGAAGCAAACUUGUCGUAGGAGUAACCCAUUUCUUUUGUGGGUGCCCUUCCCCAAAGUCAAAACGCUCCACAGAGCUGUUAUUUCCAGUUGAGUAGCAUCGAUUUUUGCAGAGGAAUGAUCAACUCCACCAAAGCUGCAUCAGAACCUCAAUUAUAUAAUUAUAUAACUAUAGUGAUAUCUCUAUCUCUAUAUCUAUUUAUAUAUGUAUAUAUUAAAGUCUUUUACUGCACUGGCACAUAAUACCAAGGAAUAGUACUGGCAUUGCUGUUUGCUGCAAGUGGCCGCCUUGACUGGAGUUACACAAGAGAGAAGCACCACAAGAGAAGGCACCACAAGGUUUCAAGAAGUUAAAUUGUUUGUUGUCACCGCCCUGACCUCGCCAUGGUGGGGAAACAGAAAAGUCCUUCAUCUAUAGCAAGGACCCUGGAAAAACUGAUUCCAAAAUUAUCCCAACCCAUGUACAUCUGUUCAUUUCAACUCAAUAAGGAGAAUAGGAAGAAAGAGCCUGACGUGGCCCGUUUUACUGCAAUUUCUUUUUGGGUACUAAGAAAGGAAAACAUUUUCAGGUUUAAAAAGAAAAGGAAGGGGAAGGACUCAGACAUUGGACACCAAGCCGUCCUAAAAAAGUGAGAAUAAGGACAAAAAUCUUGUGCUAAGGAAAACCCUACAUGGAAAUGUGUCUCUCUAAUAUGAUUUCUUGGUAGCAAUGCAUUAGGGGAAAAAAGAGAGAGAGACAGACAGAGAGAGAGAGAGAGAGACAGAGAGAAUGACAUAGGCACCAUUAACCACAAAUAGCACCGAGUCUAGAUUGAUGAGGACAGAUAGAUGUCCAUGUCUGUCCACUGAGAACCAUGAGUGUUGGCUUAGAAUCAACAUGACUUCAUCCUUAUAGCCUGGCCAAGAAAACAGGAAGUCAUUGGCCAUUCAGAGCACCAAGAAUCACAUGUGCCACUGAUGAACCAGGAAAAGAGACAGGCAGCCAAAGACUGCAGAGUGGAUGGUAAAUGGCAUUUUUAUUUGUGUUACUUGCCGGCCUUGAAAUGACCCCUUCUGUUUCUCAUUCUAGUUGGGGGAACACAUUCCACAUGGGAACAAGGAACCUGUAUUUGUUGCAGGAAAGUCUGAACAUGGGGUGAGGGGUGCAGAGUUCCCCUCACCAGCCAGUUUCCUUCCUUUGCUCCUAGUCUGGGUCAAAAGAAGGGAAGUCAACCGGCUAUGCUGGUGCAAUCUGCAAGGCUCCUAGGAUUUGCUAUCUAAGCCAAUAGUAACAGGAUGGGGAGGCUUGCAACCAGGAUCAAUAUGGCUCACUGCAAGGACCCCCUCUUCCCAAACUCUGGUCAAUGCUUCAAUUGAACGUAGCAGGCUGGUUGGGGUUGGGAGGAGAGUGGUGGUGGUUCUGAUAUAGCCAUCUCUGUGGCUUACUAUUUAAAUUGGAUUAUUGCUUUUCCUUCUGGUUUCUCCAGCUGGAGGUUUUUAGCUUAAAUUUUUUAAUUGUAAUGCUAGUCUAUACUAAAACUGAUACUCUCAUUUCAGUGUGAAGAAAAAUACAUUAUUCCUACCACCUCCCAGCAACCUGAAUUAUUUUUCCAAACCUACUUCUGGGGCAUGGACAACAGGAGCAAACAAAAGACCUCUGCCAGAGGAGUCGUCCGUUUUCAAAGGAUCUCCUCUAGAACCUUCAUGGGACAGAGAAAAGUCACCAGGUUAUAUCACCCACCCUGGUCCUUUCCUCCACAUCUCCUUCUCUGCUAUCUUCACCCAUGUGCCUCUUGCCAUAGCAGACCUGGGGGUUUUGGAGUCUCUGCCCAUGAUUAUAGGAGAUGCUCUCUGUCCAUUAAUUUCUUCCAAGGGUUCCCAGAACUUCCUCCUAGACAGGAAACGUAACACUGGUCUCCAAGCCCCUGCUUCUCCAUUGACCUAAGGUCCCUGGUAUCCUGACCACAGUCCCAAUAACCACAACAGGUGGAGUCUAGAUGGGAAAGUGCAAUUCUGAGCUGCUAGGACAAGGAAGAUGGACUCCCCAGCCUUCCUCUUCAGCUCCUCCUGCUACAGCUGGCCAGUAAACAUGGCAGAGAGAAGGCAAAUCCAAUUCUGUCAUUAUAACCUGCUUCCUAAAUGAAAACAGGUGGAGGGCACAACCUGUAGCUAACCAAGCAAAUAUAGCAUUGGUUUGUGGCCUGGAGAAGGGAAAUCUUGACGGGCUUAGCUCAAAAGCUCCUCCUCCAAAGGUCUUCCUUAUUUUCAAAGCCAAGCACUCCCUCCACUGGACUCUUGCAGCAUAUGCUUUGUGCCUCUAUGUAUUUAUCAUAUUCCACCUUCCACUAGAGUUCUUUGAGCUUCUAGCCAAGUCGUAGUGGCCAGAGGGUGUUAAAGCUAAAAGAAACAUUUUGGAAACAGAGAAAUUGAUGACUAGAAAGGCUAAAUAAUUAGUCCAAGGUCACUCAGUGCUGGGCCAGAGCUCAGAUUUACCGAUUUCCUCCUAGGAAUCGGAUAAUACUAUCCCAUUAUGAUGGGUGGAGAUGUCAUUCUUAGCCUCUCUACUUCUCAAAUUUCUAUUCAAUAUUUUUCCUCCCUUACUGCAUCACCCAUGGACAAGGACUGUGUUCUGCAUAUAAUAGAUACUCAGUUAAAGGAAAUUAUUUUUUUUUAAAUAAGAGCUUCUUUUUCCAUCCAAGGGGCUCAUUAAUUAUGUUGCAUAUGUCAUCUGCCAAAUGCUGAUGGGCUCUCAUUGAUCUGUAAUGCAGAUUUUUCCGCAUAAGCCAUACCUACACAGACCAUGUAGGUCAGAUGUAACAAAGGGCAAGAGUCCCUCUUGGGCUUCCCCCUACCUUCUUUGGCUAAGCCACUUCUAAAUAGUCCUUUUUCUAGAGAGAAGGGUCUAGAAAUAGACUCAUUUGUAUUCCCUUAGGUUGAGAAUUUGGUCAACAGUAGGUGGCAUAAACCUGUAUGUUUGGGAGGCUCAGCUGAUAAAUCUAAUCCUUAGCCCAUUGUUCACUGUAAAUUAUUUUUAACUCCAGCAAAAAGUAAAGGAAGACAUAGUCUGAGCUUUGAAAGCUAUAUUCUGCUCACACAGCUGCUGCUCAGAACAGAAGAAAAGGAAAAAGGCAAGAUUUGCAGCCAGAUACAAGAGUAAGUCUCAUGUGGGUGACUAAAGCUUCAACAGAAAACUCCCCAUCUCAAUGAAAUGGACAGAGAGGGACUAGGUCACACAGCAUCAGCUUGGAAUUGCCAAGUUCCAGAACUUUCCUUUUAUGGAUGCAUUUGUUCAGUGGGGGAGAGGGGAAUUACUAGAAUAUCAAAAUUAAUGGUGUUUAUGACUCUGCUUUCUUUAAAUCCUCAAAUAUAUAUACAUAUUAUAUAUAUAUAUAUUAUAUAUAUAUAUAAACUAGUUUUUCAGACAUAGCUAAUGCUCAAAGUAAAUAGAAGCAACAAGAAUAUUUUGUUAGCUUUUUAGGGAAAAUGAUAAAUUUUAUGUACUCAAGGCUUUGAAUUACCUGAGAAUUUCAAUAGUUUUGCUCCAUAAAGAAUCAGUUAGCAGUGUCACCAGCUUUAUUGGGUUAAAAUGGGAAGAAUGACUGGUAGACAAGUAUCCAAGAAAGACUAAACAAAUGUGAAAACAUUUUGAAAAAUAGCCAUCAUUUUUAGAAGAGAGAUUCAAUUCCAGCCUUCUGACCCCUGCAGGCUGCAUCACCUCACCAGGCAGAUGCCCUGAGAGAGCCCAAGAUCAGGUGAGCACAUGAGGAUACCCAAAAACAUGACUGCAGGGUUAAGUCAGUGAGUUCAGGGCCACGGAUCUGUAACCUGGUCUCCAGCAGACACAAAGUUAGAAAAUGCUGGAAAAUUGCCUGGCUACAGGGAGAAAAAUGUAUUUGCUUUGAACAGCAAACCACAGUGACAACCUACAGAUACCAAGAAAUGACAGAGAUUUGAGGGGAUUCUAUUCCUCUUUCAUUCUCUCUUCUCUCUCUCUCUCUCUCCCCACUCUUUGUCUGCCUCCAUCCCACCCUUCCUCCUUUCCCUAUUUGUAUAUUUUCUUCUGUAACAAAUCUGUAAUUUUUUUUUAAAUAAAAGAAAAGAGCCACAUAGGAAGGCAGGGCUGGACCAUUAGCAUCUCCAGGAUUGUGCUCUCAUCUUCCCAUUUCCCACCUUCAACUUUUCCCCCUGGUAACCCAAGAAGCCGCUUUUUCAGUGACACCAAUGGAAUAGUCUUGUCACAAAAAAGUCCAUUCAGGGGAGAAGAUAAGGGAACUAUUAUACACUGGGAAUGGCCCUGGGGAUAAGGGGACAUCGAUAGGGGAGGAUGUCACGUAUGCUCCUGCAGUGGCAUUCCACCUCCACUGGCUGCAUGCCACACUGCCAAGACAUGCAUCUGUGACAGGUUGGGGGGAGGACCCCAAAGGAUGCUCCUGUGGAGUGGGCUUGAAAGGGUCUCUAGGUGUUUUGUCCAGCCCCUGUGGUUUCCUCCCACCUAACACAAGGCCUUUUGGGUAGCAGUGGAUAUCUUACUCACACUCAUCCAGAUCCCAUCUGUUCUUAGAAUAUGGCUCACAUCACUACCGGUGGCUUCUCUUGCCCUUCCAGUCAAAGUAAGGACUUCAGAAUGAAGGUCGGAAAAGAAGGCAUGUGACUCAAAGCUCUGCAUUGCCUUCGUAUCUUUCCUCUUCAUGUAACCUCAAAUGCUCUUUACCCUAUUGUGGAAGGACUGUUCUAGCAUAACCAGAUAUCCUGGCACCUUGGGUCAUGUGGGUUCUAUCAUCAGGGUGGGAGGGAAUUUGAGUGACUUUUUCACACCCAGUGUACCUGUUUCUUCCCAGGUCUGUCUGGCACACUCCAGACUUGUAGCCCUCUGGACAAUGGGAGGUGUGUAGUACUGCUCUAAAAUCAAUUCUGCCUCCUACAAAGCAAUCGCUCUGAAAUGUCUCUCCUCUGUUAGUUACCACAGGGGGAUGUCAGCCUCCCCAAGUCUCAGGAGGGGAGGGGGGCUGCUUCAUUGGGCCAACUUCACAUCACGUGGAGACACCAGUACUGCAGGGCCAGACCCAUCAGGUUUGGGUUUCCCUGGCCAGAAAUCCUGGCAGCCUAAGGACAUCUAAUGGUGACCAGGGUCCAGGUAGUAACUUCCACCUUGCUUCUCCAGGUGUGCUUCCCUCUCUGCACUAGCUCUGGGGAGGACUGUGCUAAUGGGUCAGAGUUAUUCGGUUCGAUUUGAAUUCCAAAAAGUGGGGAGCUAUUGAGAAAGCUGCUGCCCAGAGUCUGCAGGUUGCUCUUUGGACCUGCUGAGAAUGCUGGGAGCAACAGGAGAGUCUCAAAGUUCCAGCGCAACCCCUGUCGGCCUCUCAUCCCAGAUGGAGGAGAUGGAGGCACAUUUCACUCCAAGGGUAUCUUCUUGGCCCUGAGCCCCGAGGAAAGAAAAACCCAUCUAAGCUAGGUCUAUUUCAAGUCCGGCAAGAGCCCUAAACAUCAAAAUGCUCUGUUUCAUCAACUUUUUAAGCCCUUUAAGGAAAAGAUACAUACAUAUGUGUGUGUAGUAUACAUAUGUAUACAUAUAUAUGCCCAAGAUUGGCAUAUUUAUGUAUCUAGCUGUGAUCAAUAAGCUUCGAAUGCAGUUAUAUGGUCUUGUCCUUUAAUGAGGCUCCUAGAUUCUGCACAAUUCACAAUAAUCUCAAAAUCUCAGAUCACCUCAUAGCUUGUGGCUUUCAGUGUGCGUUCUCAGUUGUGUGCGCUCUCUCUCUCUCUCUCUCUCUGGCAUUUCACUAUAAUUUUGAGCAAAUAAAAAUGAUGCCCUCAGUCAUGAGGAAGUGCCAUAGGUUCGCCUUCAGGGUGACAUUGGAGGGAACCC
rnacentral:lncRNA from 1 species